GACUCGACCAGUGAGCUAUUCCCGCUCGCCGGAAGACCAAGGGUUCCUGUCCAACGUUAAUCGGGGCAGGGUGAGUCGACCCCUAAGGCGAGGCCGAAAGGCGUAGUCGAUGGGAAACAGGUUAAUAUUCCUGUACUUGGUGUUACUGCGAAGGGGGGACGGAGAAGGCUAUGUUGGCCGGGCGACGGUUGUCCCGGUUUAAGCGUGUAGGCUGGUUUUCCAGGCAAAUCCGGAAAAUCAAGGCUGAGGCGUGAUGACGAGGCACUACGGUGCUGAAGCAACAAAUGCCCUGCUUCCAGGAAAAGCCUCUAAGCAUCAGGUAACAUCAAAUCGUACCCCAAACCGACACAGGUGGUCAGGUAGAGAAUACCAAGGCGCUUGAGAGAACUCGGGUGAAGGAACUAGGCAAAAUGGUGCCGUAACUUCGGGAGAAGGCACGCUGAUAUGUAGGUGAAGCGACUUGCUCGUGGAGCUGAAAUCAGUCGAAGAUACCAGCUGGCUGCAACUGUUUAUUAAAAACACAGCACUGUGCAAACACGAAAGUGGACGUAUACGGUGUGACGCCUGCCCGGUGCCGGAAGGUUAAUUGAUGGGGUUAGCGGUAACGCGAAGCUCUUGAUCGAAGCCCCGGUAAACGGCGGCCGUAACUAUAACGGUCCUAAGGUAGCGAAAUUCCUUGUCGGGUAAGUUCCGACCUGCACGAAUGGCGUAAUGAUGGCCAGGCUGUCUCCACCCGAGACUCAGUGAAAUUGAACUCGCUGUGAAGAUGCAGUGUACCCGCGGCAAGACGGAAAGACCCCGUGAACCUUUACUAUAGCUUGACACUGAACAUUGAGCCUUGAUGUGUAGGAUAGGUGGGAGGCUUUGAAGUGUGGACGCCAGUCUGCAUGGAGCCGACCUUGAAAUACCACCCUUUAAUGUUUGAUGUUCUAACGUGGACCCGUGAUCCGGGUUGCGGACAGUGUCUGGUGGGUAGUUUGACUGGGGCGGUCGCCUCCUAAAGAGUAACGGAGGAGCACGAAGGUUGGCUAAUCCUGGUCGGACAUCAGGAGGUUAGUGCAAUGGCAUAAGCCAGCUUGACUGCGAGCGUGACGGCGCGAGCAGGUGCGAAAGCAGGUCAUAGUGAUCCGGUGGUUCUGAAUGGAAGGGCCAUCGCUCAACGGAUAAAAGGUACUCCGGGGAUAACAGGCUGAUACCGCCCAAGAGUUCAUAUCGACGGCGGUGUUUGGCACCUCGAUGUCGGCUCAUCACAUCCUGGGGCUGAAGUAGGUCCCAAGGGUAUGGCUGUUCGCCAUUUAAAGUGGUACGCGAGCUGGGUUUAGAACGUCGUGAGACAGUUCGGUCCCUAUCUGCCGUGGGCGCUGGAGAACUGAGGGGGGCUGCUCCUAGUACGAGAGGACCGGAGUGGACGCAUCACUGGUGUUCGGGUUGUCAUGCCAAUGGCACUGCCCGGUAGCUAAAUGCGGAAGAGAUAAGUGCUGAAAGCAUCUAAGCACGAAACUUGCCCCGAGAUGAGUUCUCCCUGACUCCUUGAGAGUCCUGAAGGAACGUUGAAGACGACGACGUUGAUAGGCCGGGUGUGUAAGCGCAGCGAUGCGUUGAGCUAACCGGUACUAAUGAACCGUGAGGCUUAACC
rnacentral:rRNA from 1 species